AUUGAACGCUGGCGGCAGGCCUAACACAUGCAAGUCGAACGAGUGGCGGACGGGUGAGUAAUGUCUGGGAAACUGCCUGAUGGAGGGGGAUAACUACUGGCAACGGUAGCUAAUACCGCAUACCAUCAGAUGUGCCCAGAUGGGCUUAGCUAGGUGGUGGGGUAACGUCUCACCAAGGAGACGAUCCCUAGCUGGUCUGAGAGGAUGAACAGCAACACGGGAACGGAGACAGGGUCCAGAUUCCUACGGUGGGCAGCAGAGGGGAAGAUUGGACAAGGGGCGCAAGCCUGAUGCAGCAAGGCCGCGUGUAUGAAGAAGGCCUGCGGGUUGUAAAGUACUUUCAGCGGGGAGGCGUUACCCACAGAAGAAGCACCGGCUAACUCCGUGCCAGCAGCCGCGGUAAUAC
rnacentral:rRNA from 1 species